CACCUCAGAAUGCUCUGGAUAUUGUUACCAUUUCUGCUCUGCUCUUCCUCCAGUAUGUCAUGCAUCAAAAUUCAGAAGUUGGAAGAUGCAACUAUCAGCAGUGACAAAAAGGCUCACCAGGCAGUCCUCAGUGUGGGCUGCCUCUCAUCCUCAUCAGGAACAAGGUGGAGGGAACAGAUGGGAAGUGGCUAAAACCAGAGGCAGUCAGUAGAGAUCCAGCAGGGGGAGCAGCCUAACUCAGCAGAUACCACGGCGCCCUCUGGUGGGCGUGACCUGAAUCGCAGGGGAUUCCUGCAGCUCCUCUGGGCAGGACAUACUGCCUGGCCCGCGGGAAUGCGCCUGUCGGCCCCCUCUGACAUCUGGAAGGAAGAAAGAAAAUUGUGUCCCAUCGGAGGGUUUGCUUGCUGCUUCUCUGAUGCUCUACCCCUCCCCUCAUUUCUGAAUCCUUCUCUGUAAUGAAAAUCUCUAGUGAAUACCACUGCUGUUGCUCAGAGCUUUCCCAAGCGGCACCAGUAGAGUGAAAAUUAUUUAAUUCUUGUCAUGCUCACUGUUCCCAUAGUACACCCAAUAAAAACUGGAAAGGCACUGGUCAGUUUUUGUUUGAGGCGGCUUGGGAAAGCAACGAGGAGACACAGAAACACAGAAGAAGACUGCAGAAUUAGGAAGAUAACUUUAUAUAGAUUUACAUUCUGUUCAUAUUUGGAAGGGUAUUUUCACAGCCCCAGAAGCUAGAAGUUUAAU